UUAAUAGGCUCUUCCUUCAUCAGUCAACAGUUUCCUCAGGGCUGCCAGGACUCUGAGGUCACAGACAAGCCUUAGUGGUGCAACCAGACUCAGCUGUACCUGUCCAUGACAUCUGGUGACCUGAAUCCCAGCUUGCAGACUGACUUCCUGACUUGAACUUGGACCUGACUCAUCCUCAUGCAUUUCCUUGGUGAUCCAGGCUCUUGUCUGGACCUGUCCACCAUCUCUUUGUCUGCACAGAGCAGACCCUUGCUGUUCCCUCACUCUGGCUGAGGGCAGUAUUUUGGCACGAAAGUGCUGUACCUCUGCGAGCUCAUGUCUACUGCCCUUAGGCAUGGUUUGCUUCAUCCACACCUAGUGUGACACAGCAUUGAAAACUAAUGAACAUAUGUCACCUGAUACAAGCCAAAAUAUGGCUCAUUGGUCUAGUGUGAACAAGCUGGGGGAAAAGGAGAAGUCUAGGGAGACAGGACCAGGAAAUCAGACAGAAAAAAUUGCCAGUGAUUCCAGGAUGUUCCCAUCUGCUGUGAUGACAACAAGGAAGAUCCACCUGCUAUCAUUUUUGUGGAAACAGCAGCUCUCAAGCUGCAAGUUUGCUUUUUGCUAAGAACAGGACGGAUGCAAAAAAGGUCUGAAGUGGAAUGGAAAGAAGUGGAUACAAGGAGUGUGUACAUGUAUCCAGGGGCCCAUGAGAUCCCAGGGGAAUACACAGGUGAGUGAGAACAAAGCUGUCAGGUCUAAGGUCAACUCACAAUCACAACUGGUGGGAAGAGAUGGAGAAUUAAUCUAUCAGGAUGGAGAAGUGAUGGAAGGAAACAUAAAUUGUUUGCCUUAUUGUGUAAUUGAAUUAAGGGGCUAAUAAGAUAGCAAAAUCAUGUUUUCCAGACUCCAUAUACAUCAUGGUGGAAUUCUGAUGGAAAAAGUUAUGUAGAAAUAAAGGUUACUGAUUACAUCUAGG
rnacentral:lncRNA from 1 species